rnacentral:rRNA from 1 species
UACGAAGGGGGCUAGCGUUGCUCGGAAUCACUGGGCGUAAAGCGCACGUAGGCGGAUUGCUAAGUCAGGGGUGAAAUCCUGGAGCUCAACUCCAGAACUGCCUUUGAUACUGGCGAUCUCGAGUCCGGGAGAGGUGAGUGGAACUGCGAGUGUAGAGGUGAAAUUCGUAGAUAUUCGGAAGAACACCAGUGGCGAAGGCGACUUACUGGACACAUAUUGACGCUGAGGUGCCAAAGCGUGGGGAGCAAACAGG